rnacentral:rRNA from 1 species
AUGGCAAAGGUUUGUUUGGCUUCGGUCGUCGCAAGCCUCGAGACAACAAUGCCAUUCAGUUUGGAACUCGGGAAACUCCAGGAGGUCGCACAUGGCCAUAUAAGGGCAAGAGUUGGCCGCUCCAGGCUCGAUCCAUCGCCGCACAGGCACAUCCUAGCUAGAGACAUCGAUCGAUCAAUUGCAAUCAGGUCGGCCGCCACUUUUCGGUCGUGGAAGUCGAUCUCCGGCCAGCCCGUCGGUAUGUUCUGCCUGCUCGUGUCUCCGGAGCCGCUCCGCCGCGCGCAGCUCCUGUCCGACUCCGCGCCGCCGAGCACAGCAAGCUACAGGGCGGCCGUCGUUGGCCCGUCUACCACGCCGCUGGCCGUUUCUCGCCACGUCGCAGUGGAUAUCCCCGAUGGUUACGACGACGACGAGGGGGGCGACGACUCGGACGUCUACGAAUUGGAGACGACGACGCAGCACAUAAGCCCCGUUCGUAGGGUGCUCGCGAAGGCGGCGUUGGUUGCGUACACGGCGUUCGCCGCACCCGCCUUUGUGGUGACCGCGGCCACGCGGAGCAGCAACUGGCUCCAGGUGCUGCUGGUUGUGGUGCUGGUGCUGCUCACCUUCCUGUCGCUUUUCAUGGCCACGUUGUACGCCUUGGAAGACGAGGACAGGGAGAGGGAGGAAAGGGAACGAUGGCCUCGACGUCGCUCCGACAAGCGUGGAAUAAUGUGA